GCACAUUGUACCUCUUGAAAAGCACUUAUCUAGCUGCUAAAUACAUUCCCUAGCUUGCUCUAAAGAUUGUGGGUCAAGUGGCACAAAGAAAAAAAUCCUGCAUUGUUAUGGUUGAGCCUCAUGGCUCUACUACUGGGAGACGUGGGCGUAAGACUCCUCGAGAGUCAGAUACUCUCGAGGAGCGAGAAAGGAAGCGGCUGCGAGAUAUCUUUGCAGAACCAUCUGAUGAGGAUUCUUUUGAGGGGUUUACUGAGAGAAUGGAGGAAGAGAUGGUUAGCUCGGAAGAGGAUGACAUGGAAUGGACUCGUGUAAGGGAGGAUUUGGGUGCCACUGGCAAUGAUAGUAUGGAAGGCGAUUGGGGACCUUCAGGAUUAGACCCGUGGACAAGCUGGAGGGAUGGGAUGGGAUCCACAGCUGGGGAUGCUGUGGGGCGUAGUCAAAGGUGUUCCAGUUCUGAUGAGGAAAGUGAUGAGGAAACGCCCGGGCUAAGGAGAACAGCUGAUAGCGAUGAGGACUUGUAACUGGCAUAAAAUGGGGUUUGGGAGCAAUAGCAAAUUGCGUUGGGCAAGGUAAUCUGGACGAACGCUUGGGAUCUGUGUGGGAAGUUUUCCUGAAGACGGGUGUGAUUCGUUUGCUGACUACCUUUGACCUUCCGUCGUCUUCUUGACGGACGCCAUCUGCUUACUCUGGACUUACAGACUGACUGACUACGGCCUCGGAUUCUCCUACCUGUGUCUAUCGUUGAAACUGGUGAACUACAAACGUCUGCAUCUGCCUUACGACCUUCGGAACGGAUUGGGACUUCGCUGACUGCUUCUGCCCUCGUCUGCUGUGUUUGUAUCGGGAAAUUGCCUGCUGUGUGGAGGAGUAACCUCUAAGUUACUCAAACAUAGCUCUUGGCAGCAGAGAAGCAUCUGCUGCCAAUUAGUUGCAUUCCUUUGAACUUUUUGUUCACCAGCUUCUGUUUGUUUUUUCCCAGGCUGAAGCAAGCUGUUUUGAUUUAACCCGGAUUAAACUCCGGUUUAAUCCGGUUUAUCUUUUGAACGUUUUUCUUGUCUCUUUUUACUUUUAAGGCCAGUGUUUGCCUAGCCCUUGUCUUUUACGGGCAUUUUUGGUUCUGUAACUCCAAUAAACUUUGUUAUCUUUUA